AUGCCGCCGGGAAGAGAAGGCGGAGGCGAGCACGGGCACGGUGAUCCGGCAACCGCCCACGGAGACGGAGGCCGCGACGAGGAGGAUCCAUCAAGUUCUUCCCCGCCGCCGCCGCCGCCGUUGCUGCCCGGCCUCGCCGUCGUCUCCGUAGAAUCUGAGGAGGAGAAUAAGAAGAAGCAGAAACACGAGCAGGCCGAGGUGAGCUGCUUCCCCGAGGACGUCCUCAUGGAGAUCCUCUAGCGGGUGCCCUACAGGUCGCUAUGCCGCUUCAAGUGCGUGUCCAAACCAUGGCUCGCCCUCUGCUCCGACCGCGGCGUCCGCAAGAGGUCCCCGCAGACGCUCUCCGGAUUCUUCUUCCACUCCCUCAGUUGCAAUUUCCACAAUUUGUCCGGGAAAGGUGCUCCAUUGGUCGACCCCGAUCUCCCGUUCUUGCGCGGCACCUACAAGUACUUCCGCGUCCAGCAAUGCAGCACCAGCCUUCUCCUUUGCAAAUGCUGGAAAUCCCCCCAUCCAAUGCAAUGCGGUUGGAAUUCGUUUCCACGAGGAAAAAGGUUCCUUUGUCGGUGGUUCAGCUGGCCUGAGGCUGAUCAAUUCCAUUAUGUUGUGUGCAAUCCCGCUACCCAGGAGUGGGUUUUGCUGCCUCCUAUAGAAUUGGAUGACCUUUCGCAUAUAGGCAAAUACUCUUUGUGCUUUGACCCAGCCAUUCCUUCCCGCUUUAUGGUAUUUGUGCCCCUGUUCGCAAAGUAUGACCCGCCCGUGCCCGUGGCAAUGAUCUACUCAUCACAAACUGGAGGAUGGACUUCCAUACAGGGUCAGGUUCUCAUAACGCGUUCUUUUGGUGAUUCAGAAUGCGUCUUCCCGAAUGGCACUAUCCACUUCUAUACUCAUUUUUCAAUAGUCACAGUGGACAUGGAGGGGAGUGCUUAGAGGGAAAUUAAAAUGCCACCUGCCAUGACAGAGGGCUAUGAAAAUCUUUUCAUUGGGAGGUCCCAGGGACACUUGUAUGCUUGGCGUACAAAUAUCCGCCAACUCUCUAUUUGGGUUCUUGACGAUCAUGAUAGUGGACAAUGGACCCUCAAGUGUACUGUUAACUGCUUGGAACUGUUCGGAAGGGAAUGUCGUAAACAUGAUAUCUUCACGAUGUUUGCAAUUCAUCCAGAACGUGAUUUGGUUUUCCUAACUGACAGCGAGGAGAAGACAUUGUCAUAUGAUAUGACCAACCAGAGAGUGCAUGUUAUUUCUGCUUCUGGAGAUUUCCCGGGAGGUCUGCCUUACAUUCCAUGUUUUGCGGAAUGGAAAGCAGAUGCUCCCUAA
rnacentral:rRNA from 1 species